UCGAACGAGAGAGGAAGAGCUUGCUUUUCCGAUCGAGUGGCGAACGGGUGAGUAACGCGUGAGGAACCUGCCUCAAAGAGGGGGACAACAGUUGGAAACGACUGCUAAUACCGCAUAAGCCCACGGCUCGGCAUCGAGCAGAGGGAAAAGGAGCAAUCCGCUUUGAGAUGGCCUCGCGUCCGAUUAGCUAGUUGGUGAGGUAAUGGCCCACCAAGGCGACGAUCGGUAGCCGGACUGAGAGGUUGAACGGCCACAUUGGGACUGAGACACGGCCCAGACUCCUACGGGAGGCAGCAGUGGGGAAUAUUGCACAAUGGGGGAAACCCUGAUGCAGCGACGCCGCGUGGAGGAAGAAGGUCUUCGGAUUGUAAACUCCUGUUGUUGAGGAAGAUAAUGACGGUACUCAACAAGGAAGUGACGGCUAACUACGUGCCAGCAGCCGCGGUAAAACGUAGGUCACAAGCGUUGUCCGGAAUUACUGGGUGUAAAGGGAGCGCAGGCGGGCGAUCAAGUUGGAAGUGAAAUCCAUGGGCUCAACCCAUGAACUGCUUUCGAAACUGAUUGUCUUGAGUAGUGCAGAGGUAGGCGGAAUUCCCGGUGUAGCGGUGGAAUGCGUAGAUAUCGGGAGGA
rnacentral:rRNA from 1 species